UUGAAGUGAUGAUCUGAGGAGCUCGUAGUGCUUCAUAAGCAUUAAUUAAUUAAACCUUACUAGAUCCCAGUGAGCCUUGUUCCUGAAUAAAAAGUGCAUGAUAAAUGAGUUAUACAGAGAGCAUUGAAGGGCUACUGACGAUGUAUAGUUAUGUACAAUAUGUAACUCAUUCUGUCACUGAAUUAAGAUGAACAGAACUUUUCCUUCUGAAAACCUGAGUGCACUUCACAGCUGGAAACAAGGAAAAUGUCCAGGACUACUGUGCUAUUCAUCUCUCUGCGGACUACCAACAACAACUCCACAGACCAAGCUGGGAACCAACAGUUUUAUGUAAUAAGUGUUUGGAUGCAUUUUCAAGUAAGGCUUUUUGUAGCAUCCUAAACAGAAGGAUAUUGAAGGGAGCUGAUUCUGCUUUGAUCCUUAUGCUUGUUGUCAAAGCGCUUGGGAUUGAAGAGACUGUUGGCUACAAUUGACUGUGACAAUUAGGAGAUGAUCAGAGCCCUAGAGUGGAGCACUUAAAGGGUUUGCAUUUAAAGGACUCGCAGAGCACUAAUUGUAUAAAAUUCUAGUAACUGCACAUUCUCUUGCUGGAAAGGUAAUGGAUGAAUGAAUGAAUGAUUUUGGGUUUCCCUAUACUUUAGAAUCAACUUAAUUUUUUUUUAAAUGAGCAGGAAGAAGAAAGUUUUACUCAGUAGCAAUGCAUUUUGAAAAGUCUUCAUUUUUGGGGUGUAGAUUAAAAAAAGUCUUCCCUAAGAGUUUUGGAAUGUAAAGUUGAUUAGAAUUUAACUGAGGUGUGCUUUUUUAAUGAGUUAUCAAAUCUACUGUUCCUGUUAUUAAAUAUAAUUUUUAAAUAAAUUAAUGUACAUAUUGAUCAUAAUGCCAGAAAGCCUAUUACAAUGUCCCUAGAAUUGCCUUUCUUGCUCAAAAAUACAUAAAGAGCAAAAGUCGACAUAUUCACAGUAAAAAUAUACUUCCUUAUGCAACCCUAU